UCUUAUCAAGAGAGACUGAGGGACUGGCCCAAAGACGUCUCAGCAACCGACCUACUAGUAGGUAAAGGUGCUAAUUCCAGCUAGAUAAG
rnacentral:ncRNA from 1 species